AGGACCCAGUCCCUUCCUCUUCCCCUCUUGCCACAGGCUUUCCACCAUCAUGUGCUGCAGCCUUGCCACAGGCCCCAAAGCAACAGAUUUCAUGGACUGAAAUCUCUGAAAUUACAAGCCAAAAUAAUUUUAUAAGUUAAUCAUCUCAAGUAUUUGUAAUAGUGACAGAAAACUGACUAACACAUGACCCAUCAAAGAAUUGAUAUGCUGAACUUUGUUAAAAUUAAAAUCUCUGUUCUGCAAAAGACACUCUGAAGAGAACAAACAGGCAGGUCACAGACUCUGAGGGAGUAUUUGCAAGAGACACCUAUGAUUAAGGACUAUUAUCCAAAUAUACAAAGACCUCCUAAGAUUCAACAAUAAGAAAACAGUUCCUUUUAAAAAUGGGCCAAAACCAUAAUGGGCAUCUCAACAAAGAAGAUAUACAGAUGGCAAAUAAGCAUAUGAAAAUAUGCUCUGCAACACGUAACCAGGAAAUGCAAAUUAAAACAAGAUAUCAGGAAACACCACAGGGGCAGAAGUCCAAAGCACCGACCACACCAAAACUCCCUCAGAAUGUGAAGCAACAGGAACUCUGGUUUACUGCUGGUGGGAUGACAGUUUGGCUGAUUUUCUUAUUAAUUGAAACACACUUACCACUUGAUCUAGUAAUUAGACGUCAUGGUAUUUACCCAAAGGAGCUGGGCACUCCGAGUUUGAUCACACAAGCCCCUAACAGAGAUGUCUGUAGCAGCUUUAUUUUUAAUUAGCAAAACCUGGAAGAAGCAACCAAGGUGUCAGUAGGAGGAUUCCUCAGGACAGCAGAAUAUUACUCAGCACUAAAAAAAAAAAAAAAAAAAAGCAUGAUGUAGAAAUUUUUAAUGAGCUAUAAAGCCAUGAAAAUGUGGAGCAAAUUAAAUACAUUUUACUCGGUGACAUUGACUUUUGCCACAGAUUGGGCAAAGUCCCACAUGCUGUUAGUAUCCAGCUAUAUGACAUUCUGGAAAAGACAAAAAAAUAGAGACCAUAAAAAGUUCAAUGAUUGCCAGAGGAAGGUAGGGAGGUACGAACAUGUAGAGCAGGGAUGACGUUUAGG
rnacentral:lncRNA from 1 species